rnacentral:rRNA from 1 species
GCCGAGCGGUAGAGAUUCUUCGGAAUCUUGAGAGCGGCGUACGGGUGCGGAACACGUGUGCAACCUGCCUUUAUCUGGGGGAUAGCCUUUCGAAAGGAAGAUUAAUACCCCAUAAUAUAUUGACUGGCAUCAGUUGAUAUUGAAAACUCCGGUGGAUAGAGAUGGGCACGCGCAAGAUUAGAUAGUUGGUGAGGUAACGGCUCACCAAGUCUACGAUCUUUAGGGGGCCUGAGAGGGUGAUCCCCCACACUGGUACUGAGACACGGACCAGACUCCUACGGGAGGCAGCAGUGAGGAAUAUUGGACAAUGGGUGAGAGCCUGAUCCAGCCAUCCCGCGUGAAGGACGACGGCCCUAUGGGUUGUAAACUUCUUUUGUAUAGGGAUAAACCUACUCUCGUGAGAGUAGCUGAAGGUACUAUACGAAUAAGCACCGGCUAACUCCGUGCCAGCAGCCGCGGUAAUACGGAGGGUGCAAGCGUUAUCCGGAUUUAUUGGGUUUAAAGGGUCCGUAGGCGGAUCUGUAAGUCAGUGGUGAAAUCUCACAGCUUAACUGUGAAACUGCCAUUGAUACUGCAGGUCUUGAGUGUUGUUGAAGUAGCUGGAAUAAGUAGUGUAGCGGUGAAAUGCAUAGAUAUUACUUAGAACACCAAUUGCGAAGGCAGGUUACUAAAGCACACUGACGCUGAUGG